UUCCCUUCGGGGACAUUGGUGACAGGUGGUGCAUGGUUGUCGUCAGCUCGUGUCGUGAGAUGUUGGGUUAAGUCCCGCAACGAGCGCAACCCUUGUCUUUAGUUGCCAUCAUUAAGUUGGGCACUCUAGAGAGACUGCCAGGGAUAACCUGGAGGAAGGUGGGGAUGACGUCAAAUCAUCAUGCCCCUUAUGCUUAGGGCUACACACGUGCUACAAUGGGUAGUACAGAGGGUUGCCAAGCCGUAAGGUGGAGCUAAUCCCUUAAAGCUACUCUCAGUUCGGAUUGUAGGCUGAAACUCGCCUACAUGAAGCUGGAGUUACUAGUAAUCGCAGAUCAGAAUGCUGCGGUGAAUGCGUUCCCGGGUCUUGUACACACCGCCCGUCACACCACGGGAGUUGGAGACGCCCGAAGCCGAUUAUCUAACCUUUGGGAAGAAGGCGACGAAGAGGGAUGCAACAACUGGGGUGAAGUCGUAACAAGGUGACCGUAUCGGAAGGUGCGGCUGGUUCACUUCCUUUCUAGGGA
rnacentral:rRNA from 1 species